GCAUUGUUAUUGUUCCUAGCAAAAGUGAAAUGUUGUCAGGAAAAAUAUUUGCCACUUGGCAGUGGCCGCUCAAGUUGGACAAACAGUGAAACAGCUGCCUUGACAGCUGCAUUCCAACUGGCAGCCAAGAGCGGCAGCCCCGCAGCCUGGCGGGUCCUCCUCCCCAGCGCAGACCCUCCGCCUUCCUUUCCUGGGACACAUUCAAACCAUAGCAUGUGGCUAAAAUUCUAUUUCUAAAGGACAGAUAAGAAAAAUUUUUCUUCUCUAUCUGGCUGUAGUCGAUUAAACUGGAAUAAAACACUCUUGUAAAUGGUGUCUCCCACACACCCAUGAGGAUCCUUCCAAAACUUUGUUGGAAAAUAUAAUUAAAAGCUCCUUGCUAAUGUACCUGAGAAAGCAGUGGAAUAUGGCCCCAGUCCUUGGGCCCCAGCAUCCACGUGGGAGACCCAGAAGAAGCUCCUGGCUCCUGGCUUCAGAUUGGCUCAGCUCUGGCUGUUGUAACUAUUUGGGGAGUGAAUCAGCAGAUGGAAGACCUCUCUCUCUCUGCAACUCUUUCAAAUAAACAAAAUAAAUCUUUAA